CCUACGGAGGGCUGCAGUGGGGAAUAUUGGGCAAUUGGCGAAAGCCUGACCCAGCAACGCCGCGUGAAGGAAGCAGGCUUUCGGGUUGUAAACUUCUUUUGACAGGGAAGAGCAGAAGACGGUACCUGUCGAAUAAGACACGGCUAACUACGUGCAAGCAGCCGCGGUAAUACGUAGGUGGCAAGCGUUGUCCGGAUUUACUGGGUGGAAAGGGCGUGUAGCCGGGCUGACAAGUCAGAUGUGAAAUCCGUGGGCUCAACCCACGAAAUGCCUUUGAACCUGUUGGUCUUGAGUAUCGGAGAGGAAGGCGGAAUUCCUAGUGUAGCGGUGAAAUGCGUAGAUAUUAGGAGGAACACCAGUGGCGAAGGCGGCCUGCUGGACGACAACUGACGGUGAGGCGCGAAAGCGUGGGGAGCAAACAGGAUUAGAUACCCGAGUAGUC
rnacentral:rRNA from 1 species